rnacentral:rRNA from 1 species
GGAAUUUUGCGCAAUGGGGGCAACCCUGACGCAGCAACGCCGCGUGGGCGAUGAAGGCCUUCGGGUCGUAAAGCCCUUUUGAGGGGGACGAUGAUGACGGUACCCCUCGAAUAAGCCACGGCUAACUACCUGCCAGCAGCCGCGGUAAUACGUAGGUGGCAAGCGUUGUCCGGAUUUACUGGGCGUAAAGGGCGUGCAGGCGGUUUGUUUAGUCUAGGGUGAAAGCUCCCGGCUUAACUGGGAGAGGUCCUUGGAUACUGGCAAACUUGAGGGAGGCAGAGGAAAGUGGAAUUCCCGGUGUAGUGGUGAUAUGCGUAGAUAUCGGGAGGAACACCAGUGGCGAAGGCGGCUUUCUGGGCCUUACCUGACGCUGAGACGCGAAAGCGUGGGGAGCGAA